CAGCAGCUUGGAGAGAUGUUCGUCCAAAAGCAGCAACACACGUCCUAGGAGCGUCCAGCAGCGUCCAGCAGCGUCCAGCGUGGAUGGGGGCCAAUUAAUAUGAAGUAAGGCAGCCGCCACGGAGGAAAAAAUUAAUAUAUUCUGAAUUGAAGGCACGGUCACAUCCAACUGCCAUGUCCAACAUUCAGAGAGCGCGAAAAGAAGCACGUCGGUUUCGUUUUUGGAAGAAGCAUUCGGUCACGUCCUGGAAGAAGUGAGGCACGCGGAGAGAAGCUGGAUUUUGCAAAGAGAAGAUGUGUGCAGCCGCCAGCCUGGGAGCAAUAUCUUUUAUUUAGAAGCGAAGUAGCGUUGGGGGGCACACUUCUCAUUAGAAGGCAGCGGUGCUCCAGAUGCUAGAAGAAGUCACGUUCAUCCAGCAUGUUGAGAAAAAAAAAAUGUUUGAUUUCUUUUCUUCGUUUGAAAUAGGAGCUGGAGAGGACGUGCAUUGCUUUGCUUGCUGGAGAGGCACAGACAUCAUUUUAUUCGGUGCUUUCAUUUCAGCUUUGGAGGCAUUGGUUUUCGGCUGAGUGGACCUGUUAUUGUGAUGUGUUGUAACUAUUUCAAGUGAUGCAAUGAAGAAAAUGUUGGUGAAAGGGAUGUUAUCAUUGCUAGGCAAAGGAGGAAGAUUUAUGAUAUGGAGAACACAGUGAAAGCUUUGAAGAGACGGAUCCAAUUAUUAGUAGCAGUGAUGUGUGUUAUCAGUGUAGUGAUCAUAGUUAUGUUGUGUAUGUUUUUAGGUUGAUGUGUUGUAAGUGUGUUUUUAGGUUGAUAUGUUCUGUGUGUUUUUAGGUGGUCGUCAUCUGAUUUACUUUAGUGUUUUGAAGGUUGAGGUUUUUGGGUGACCCCAAUGUUAAGGUUGGGCGACUGUCUUUUGUAAU
rnacentral:sRNA from 1 species